rnacentral:rRNA from 1 species
GACGAACGCUGGCGGCGUGCUUAACACAUGCAAGUCGAACGAAGUGGCGAACGGGUGAGUAACGCGUAAACAACCUGCCCUUCAGAGGGGGACAACAGUUGGAAACGACUGCUAAUCCCGCAUACUGAAGGUGGGGUUUGCGUCUGGUUAGCUAGUUGGGGGGGUAACCGCCCACCAAGGCGAAGAUCAGGAGCCGGUCUGGGAGGGUGGACGGCCAAAUUGGGACUGAGGCACGGCCCAGACUCCUACGGGAGGCAGCAGGGGGGAAUCUUCCGCAAUGGACGAAAGUCUGACGGAGCAAAGCCGCGGGAGGGAUGACGGCCUUCGGGUUGUAAAGCUCUGUUAAUCGGGACGCGGUACCGGAAUAGAAAGCCACGGCUAACUCCGUGCCAGCAGCCGCGGUAAUUC